GAUGAACGCUGGCGGCGUGCUUAACACAUGCAAGUCGAACGAUGAAGCCCAGCUUGCUGGGUGGAUUAGUGGCGAACGGGUGAGUAACACGUGAGUAACCUGCCCUUAACUCUGGGAUAAGCCUGGGAAACUGGGUCUAAUACCGGAUAGGAGCGUCCACCGCAUGGUGGGUGUUGGAAAGAUUUAUCGGUUUUGGAUGGACUCGCGGCCUAUCAGCUUGUUGGUGAGGUAAUGGCUCACCAAGGCGACGACGGGUAGCCGGCCUGAGAGGGUGACCGGCCACACUGGGCCGGGGACACGGCACAGACUACUACGGGAGGCAGGAGUGGGGAAUAUUGCACAAUGGGAGCAAGCCUGAUGCAGCGAAGCCGCGUGAGGGAUGACGGCCAUCGGGUUGUAAACCUCUUUCAGUAGGGAAGAAGCGAAAGUGACGGUACCUGCAGAAGAAGCACCGGCUAACUACGUG
rnacentral:rRNA from 1 species